rnacentral:rRNA from 1 species
UACGUAGGGGGCAAGCGUUGUCCGGAUUUAUUGGGCGUAAAGAGCGUGUAGGCGGCCAGGUAGGUCUGCUGUGAAAACUCGAGGCUUAACCUCGAGAUGUCGGCGGAAACCAUCAGACUAGAGUCCGGAAGAGGAGGGUGGAAUUCCUGGUGUAGCGGUGAAAUGCGCAGAUAUCAGGAAGAACACCCGUGGCUAAGGCGGCUCUCUAGUACGGUACUGACGCUGAGACGCGAAAGCGUGGGGAGCGAACAGG